GUGGGGAAUAUUGGACAAUGGGCGCAAGCCUGAUCCAGCCAUGCCGCGUGAGUGAUGAAGGCCCUAGGGUUGUAAAGCUCUUUCACCGGUGAAGAUAAUGACGGUAACCGGAGAAGAAGCCCCGGCUAACUUCGUGCCAGCAGCCGCGGUAAUACGAAGGGGGCUAGCGUUGUUCGGAAUUACUGGGCGUAAAGCGCACGUAGGCGGGUAUUUAAGUCAGGGGUGAAAUCCCGGAGCUCAACUCCGGAACUGCCUUUGAUACUGGGUACCUAGAGUAUGGAAGAGGUAAGUGGAAUUCCGAGUGUAGAGGUGAAAUUCGUAGAUAUUCGGAGGAACACCAGUGGCUAAGGCGGCUUACUGGUCCAUUACUGACGCUGAGGUGCGAAAGCGUGGGGAGCAAACAGGAUUAGAAACCCCUGUAGUCC
rnacentral:rRNA from 1 species